rnacentral:rRNA from 1 species
GAGGUGACCAUGCGGCGAAGCCUGACGCAGCAACGCCGCGUGGAGGAUGAAUGCUCUCGGGUUGUAAACUCCUUUCACCCAUAAAGAAAUUGACGGUACCUGCAGAAGAAGCACCGGCCAACUACGUGCCAGCAGCCGCGGUAAUACGUAGGGUGCAAGCGUUGUCCGGAUUCAUUGGGCGUAAAGAGCUCGUAGGCGGCUUGGCAAGUCAGAUGUGAAACCCUCAGGCUCAACCUGGGGAUGCCAUCUGAUACUGCUAUGGCUAGAGUAUGGUAGGGGACUACGGAAUUCCUGGUGUAGCGGUGAAAUGCGCAGAUAUCAGGAGGAACACCGGUGGCGAAGGCGGUAGUCUGGGCCAUUACUGACGCUGAGGAGCGAAAGCGUGGGGAGCGAACAGGAUUAGAUACCCUGGUAGUCCACGCCGUAAACGUUGGGCACUAGGUGUGGGGUCUAUUUCGACGGACUCCGUGCCGUAGCUAACGCAUUAAGUGCCCCGCCUGGGGAGUACGGCCGCAAGGC